GGGCGAUUUGCAUAAUGGCAGUGCCUGACUUUUACACGGUCAUGGCGGGAGUUCGAUUCUCUCAUCGCCCA
rnacentral:tRNA from 1 species